CCUACGGGAGGCAGCAGUGGGGAAUAUUGCACAAUGGGGGAAACCCUGAUGCAGCGACGCCGCGUGAGUGAAGACGUCUUUCGGUAUGUAAAGCUCUAUCAGCAGGGAAGAAACUGACGUUACCUGAUUAAGACGCCCCGUCUAACUACGUUCCAUCAGCCGCGGUACUACGUAGGGGGCCAGCGUUAUCCGGAUUUACUGGGUGUAAGGGAGCGUAGACGGCAGCACAAGUCUGGAGUGAAAUGCCGGGGCUUAACCCCGGAACUGCUUUGGAAACUGGGUAGCUAGAGUGCAGGAGAGGUAAGUGGAAUGCGUGGUGUAGCGGUGAAAUGCGUAGAUAUUAGGAGGAACACCAGUGGCGAAGGCGGCUUACUGGACUGUAACUGACGUUGAGGCUCGAAAGCGUGGGGAGCAAACAGGAUUAGAUACCCUUGUAGUC
rnacentral:rRNA from 1 species